GUAAUUUGCAGAGGAUGCUUUUGGCGCGGUGCCUUCUGAGUUCCCUGGAACGGGACGCCGGAGAGGGUGAGAGCCCCGUACAGUUGGACACCAAGCCUUUGUAAAGCUCCUUCGACGAGUCGAGUAGUUUGGGAAUGCUGCUCAAAAUGGGAGGUAAAUGCCUUCUAAAGCUAAAUACCGGCCAGAGACCGAUAGCGCACAAGUAGAGUGAUCGAAAGAUGAAAAGCACUUUGAAAAGAGGGUUAAACAGUACGUGAAAUUGUUGAAAGGGAAGCGCUCGUGACCAGACUUGCGCCCGGCGGAUCAUCCGGCCUUCUGGCCGGUGCACUCCGCCGGGCUCAGGCCAGCAUCGGUUUUCCUGGGGGGAUAAAAGUGGCGGGAACGUAGCUCCUCCGGGAGUGUUAUAGCCCGCCGCAGCAUACCCCCGGGGGGACCGAGGACCGCGCUUCGGCAAGGAUGCUGGCGUAAUGGUCACCAGCGACCCGUCUUGAAACACGGACCAAGGAGUCAAGCAUUAGGGCGAGUGUUUGGGUGUCAAACCCGCACGCGAAAUGAAAGUGAACGCAGGUGAGAGCUUCGGCGCAUCAUCGACCGAUCCUGAUGUUUUCGGAUGGAUUUGAGUAAGAGCCUUGCCGCUUG
rnacentral:rRNA from 1 species